rnacentral:rRNA from 1 species
UACGUAGGGUGCGAGCGUUAAUCGGAAUUACUGGGCGUAAAGCGUGCGCAGGCGGUGAUGUAAGACAGGUGUGAAAUCCCCGGGCUUAACCUGGGAACUGCAUUUGUGACUGCAUCGCUGGAGUGCGGCAGAGGGGGAUGGAAUUCCGCGUGUAGCAGUGAAAUGCGUAGAUAUGCGGAGGAACACCGAUGGCGAAGGCAAUCCCCUGGGCCUGCACUGACACUCAUGCACGAAAGCGUGGGGAGCAAACAGG